rnacentral:lncRNA from 10 species
CUCUGGUGAGGGCACUGUGCUUCCGUCACCAACCACACUCUUUUCUGAUGGUCUUUCUCUUUGUUCCCUGAGAUAUUUCUUCCAAACCACCAUAUUAAGAGGUAAACUGAUUCUAAGAUUUAUGAGGAAUCACAAAGGGCCAAGAAUAGCAAUGCACACUUGAAGGAAAAUAAGGUCAGAGAGUCAAGUUACUAGUCAAAUAAUCGCCUAAAAAUUAAUUUACAAAUGGUAAUUACACUUAAUCUUUAAAGGAAAAAAACCAACACUGAAAGUAACAGAAUGGGAGCUAAAUGGGGAGAACUGCAAUAUCACCUCAGACACCAUGGCCCAGAACCAUCUGUGCUCAUGCAAGACCCAUAAUUGUGUGCUCCCCAUUGCCUAUCCCUAUCCCAUGAAUCCAAGAGGGCUGCCUCAACAGUAACCUGGAGUUGGGCUAUACACACUGUUACUGGUGAAUGAUCCUCCUUUGCUGGGCUCUGAUCUCUCCUGCCCGGGUUCUGCCUUGGUUCUUGAUCAGGGGUUCUGGGACAUUCUCACUAAGUUCUGGAUUCGUUCCCUCUAUGGCCUAUGCUUCAACACUACUGACAAUUUGGUUAUUGCUCUCUUUAUGGUUCUGAUCUUCACUUUUUAUGCUUUCCCGCUUUAAUGCCUUCUCCAUCACUCUGAAUUGCUCAUUCAUGGCCUCAUUCACCAUUUUCCUUUCUUCUUAUAUUAUUUUUUAACUCUCAACUUCUGAACUCUUCUCUAAUCUUACUUAACCAAUCUUGUUCUCCUGGUUGAAGUUAUACAUCCUACAUUAUAACAUUUAUUAUUGUUUUUAAAACAAUUUUAUUUUUCCACAGGUUUAUUAAGGUAUAAUUGACAAAAAUUAUAUAUAUUUACAGUGUACAGCUUGAUGUUUUGAUAAGUGUAUACAUUGUGAGACAUCGUGGUCAUUGUAUACAUUGCGACACACUAUAUACCUUGUGAAACAUGCUAAUUGAUUUUUUAAAUAAUGGUUAUCCUGAGUAACAAUAUUUUGAUAGAUUUUUUCCAUAUGAUUUACUCUAAUCUGGCAGCACUUUACAAAGCAGUUUAUCAUUUUUUCCUCAUUACUAUAAGAAAAGUGAGACUCAGCAAACUUAGAUCUUGGUCUCUCUGACUUCAAGUCUACUUUCUGGCCAUUACAAUAGUAGCUCCCAAAUUAGAGAGAUUCCAAAAAUAAGAUUCCCAGGACAUAUCUUGGAACUUCUGAUUCUAAAGUUUGCAGGGGCCACUCCAAGUGAUUCUAACAGUGAUGCAGGUUUGGGGACCGAUGUACUGCACAUAUUGCCACUACCCUACUGUAACCUCCAGUAUGAUGCAACCCACCUUUGA